rnacentral:lncRNA from 1 species
UAUAAAAUUAAACUUGAGUAAUUAUACUCAAAUUAAUAUAAAUUCAUGGAUUUUACUACAUACUUUAAUUUUCAGGCAAAACAUUAAAAAAAAUUUAAAACUUAUGUUUAGCGUGGAUUAGAAUCCUCUCUAAAACCUAAUAAUAUAACCGCCUAGGAAAAAUUAAAAUAAUCAUGUACAUGAAUUUUAACAUAAAUUAUGUACAAAACUUAAAAAUUACAAAAUUAUGUAUAAGAUUAUAAUUGGGAAAUUGCCACAAAUAUCACAUUCUUUUUUUUUGACAACAACAAAAAGAGACUCAUAUAGACUUUGAAAACCAAAUGGAUAGCUCCGCAUCCAUAUGGACAACGAAAGACGGUUGUCUCCUGGCACUCCGUGCUAUGCUGUCC